UACAGAGGGGGCAAGCGUUAUUCGGAAUUAUUGGGCGUAAAGGGCGCGUAGGCGGCUUGGCAAGUGGAUGGUGAAAUCCCGUCGGCUUAACCGAGGAACUGCCGUCCAAACUGCUUCGCUUGAGACCGGGAGAGGUGAGUGGAAUUCCCAGUGUAGCGGUGAAAUGCGUAGAUAUUGGGAGGAACACCAGUGGCGAAGGCGGCUCACUGGCCCGAUACUGACGCUGAGGCACGAAAGCGUGGGGAGCAAACAGG
rnacentral:rRNA from 1 species